UGACUCCUCAACCUGACUGAUAGUGAGAGAUAUAUUCUCCCUCUUCGGUCUGCUAAUGGUAAAUCUAUCACUGAUCUCCUUUCCCCUCUCCGGCUCACUCAGGUCAGCUGGACAUCAUCACUGAGUUUUCCAAAGAGAGAAGAUGGGGACUGCUGUACAGUGAUGGCUCUUGAGAACUCUGUACAAGAGAGGAGAUUGUUUCUAACAAAGAAUGUUAUGCAUGUAAUGCCUAACAAAUAUUGACAUAAAUAUAAGCAAUAAAAUGUGUGCAGCCAAAAUA